UCCAACUUGAGCCUUCCCGUGCAACCUCC
rnacentral:piRNA from 1 species